GUUUUGAGGCGCGUCCAGCGGGUUUCCUCUCCCCCAGCGGUGACUGGAGGCAGGGAAUCUUACACACUGGACCCGGCAUCUUUCAUGCUUCCCUGCUGUCAUUGGAUGAGUGGAGUACAAGCCUUGUUACCUCAGGCAAAAGGGCAUAAUUACAAGUCAGUAAGCUCCUGCUGCAUGAAGAUGCAGAGCUGUUACAAAAUACAAGAAGAAUUCACUGCAGACGGG